rnacentral:rRNA from 1 species
GUCGGGAAUCUUGGGCAAUGGGCGAAAGCCUGACCCAGCAACUCCGCGUGAGGGAUGAAGGCCCUCGGGUCGUAAACCUCUGUCGGGAGGGAAGAAGGUCACGUUGUAAAUAGCUUCGUGACUUGACGGUACCUCCAAAGGAAGCGCCGGCUAACUCCGUGCCAGCAGCCGCGGUAAUACGGAGGGCGCAAGCGUUGUUCGGAAUCAUUGGGCGUAAAGCGGGUGUAGGCGGCUUGACAAGUCAAGUGUGAAAGCCCUGGGCUCAACCCAGGAACGGCACUCGAUACUGUUUCGCUAGAGUCCCGGAGAGGAAGGCAGAAUUCCCGGUGUAGAGGUGAAAUUCGUAGAUAUCGGGAGGAAUACCAGUGGCGAAGGCGGCCUUCUGGACGGUGACUGACGCUCAGACCCGAAAGCGUGGGGAGCAAACAGG